rnacentral:rRNA from 1 species
AACGAACGGCUGGCGGCAGGCCUAACACAUGCAAGUCGAGCGCGCCUUCGGGUGAGCGGCGGACGGGUUAGUAACGCGUGGGAACGUACCCUUCUCUACGGAAUAGCCUUUGGAAACGAAGAGUAAUACCGUAUACGCCCUUUGGGGGAAAGAUUUAUCGGAGAAGGAUCGGCCCGCGUUAGAUUAGAUAGUUGGUGGGGUAACGGCCUACCAAGUCUACGAUCUAUAGCUGGUUUUAGAGGAUGAUCAGCAACACUGGGACUGAGACACGGCCCAGACUCCUACGGGAGGCAGCAGUGGGGAAUCUUAGACAAUGGGCGCAAGCCUGAUCUAGCCAUGCCGCGUGAGUGAUGAAGGCCUUAGGGUCGUAAAGCUCUUUCGCCUGUGAUGAUAAUGACAGUAGCAGGUAAAGAAACCCCGGCUAACUCCGUGCCAGCAGCCGCGGUAAUACGGAGGGGGUUAGCGUUGUUCGGAAUUACUGGGCGUAAAGCGCACGUAGGCGGAUUGGAAAGUUGGGGGUGAAAUCCCGGGGCUCAACCCCGGAACUGCCUCCAAAACUAUCAGUCUAGAGUUCGAGAGAGGUGAGUGGAAUUCCAAGUGUAGAGGUGAAAUUCGUAGAUAUUUGGAGGAACACCAGUGGCGGAAGGCGGCUCACUGGCUCGAUACUGACGCUGA